rnacentral:tRNA from 1 species
UCCCUGGUGGUUCAGUGGUUAAGACUCUGAGCUCCCAACACAGGGCACAUGGUUCAAUCCCUGGUCAGGGAA